rnacentral:rRNA from 1 species
GACGAACGCUGGCGGCGUGCUUAACACAUGCAAGUCGAACGAAGUGGCGAACGGGUGAGUAACGCGUAAUCAACCUGCCCUUCAGAGGGGGACAACAGUUGGAAACGACUGCUAAUACCGCAUACUGAAGGAGGGGAUUGCGUCUGAUUAGCUAGUUGGAGGGGUAACGGCCCACCAAGGCGAUGAUCAGUAGCCGGUCUGAGGAGAUGAACGGCCACAUUGGGACUGAGACACGGCCCAGGAUCCUACGGGAGGCAGCAGGUGGGAAUCUUCCGAAAUGGAGGAAAGUCUGACGGAGCAACGGCGCGGGAGUGAUGACGGCCUUCGGGGUGUAAAGCUCUGUUAAUCGGGACGCGGUACCGGAAGAGAAAGCCACGGCUAACUACGUGCCAGCAGCCGCGGUAAUAC